rnacentral:tRNA from 1 species
GAGAGUAUAGCUCAGUGGUAGAGCACGUGCUUAGCAUGCACGAGGUCCUGGGUUCAAUCCCCAGUCUUUCCA